UACGUAGGGACCAAGCGUUGUUCGGAUUUACUGGGCGUAAAGGGCGCGUAGGCGGUUUGACAAGUCACUUGUGAAAUCUCCGGGCUUAACUCGGAACGGCCAAGUGAAACUGUCAUGCUAGAGUGCAGAAGGGGCAAUCGGAAUUCUUGGUGUAGCGGUGAAAUGCGUAGAUAUCAAGAGGAACACCUGAGGUGAAGACGGGUUGCUGGGCUGACACUGACGCUGAGGCGCGAAAGCAUGGGUAGCGAACAGG
rnacentral:rRNA from 1 species